GAAGGCAAAGAAAGCCUGUUUCUAGCAGAUAACCAGGGUUGUAUCUAAAAUUUUUCAUAUAUUGAACUAAAUAAAGAUCAAUUCUUUACCUGAAUUACUAUAGAAUAGGAAUCAAAUCUCUAAAAUCUAAAUUCAAAUCUUUGUAUAGGCCUAGAUCUGUAGGCCCUCUACUUCGCACACACGCCAAGCUCUACGGGAAAGCGGGAUGAAGCCUUGGAUUGAAGCACCUUCGCAAGGCCAC
rnacentral:lncRNA from 1 species